UAAGUUGCUGAGGCUGGCUGUGAACUUGUGAUCCUCCUGCCUCGGCCUCCCAAACUGCUGGGAUUACAGACAUGCACCACCUCACCCAGAUUUCCACUUGUUCUUUAGAUCCAAGCCCUCACUUGUUCUAAGACUUUCUCCUUCAGCUGCAGAUGCCAUAGUUCCUGUGAGGGAUUCAGUUUUACUCUGAAGUUCUGGGCAGACUGGUCAAAGGAGAGAUGUGAUGGGCCACAGGAUUCUCACUACUGAAAGGUCAUGCAUCAGUUAUUCAAGAGAGAAAAGCUUUUUUUCUGAUACUAAAUUCCAAAAGAAAGUUAUAACAUGAAGUUAGUAAAGAAAUGGAGCACUGUAAUAAAACUCUGUACCCCUAAUGAACAAUAAAAUGGUUAUUUAUACAGUUUGUCAUAAC